rnacentral:rRNA from 1 species
GAUCCUGGCUCAGGAUGAACGCUAGCUACAGGCUUAACACAUGCAAGUCGAGGGGAAACGACAUCGAAAGCUUGCUUUUGAUGGGCGUCGACCGGCGCACGGGUGAGUAACGCGUAUCCAACCUGCCUACCACUUGGGGAUAACCUUGCGAAAGUAAGACUAAUACCCAAUGACAUCCCACGAAGACAUCUGAAUGGGAUUAAAGAUUUAUCGGUGUACGAUGGGGAUGCGUUCCAUUAGGUAGUAGGG